rfam:Spironucleus salmonicida unplaced genomic scaffold scf7180000020536, whole genome shotgun sequence.
UCCUACUUGGUAUAACGGUUAGCAUACUUGGUUCUCACCCAAGUGAUCCGGGUUCGAUUCCCGGAGUAGGAG